UUAUUCCAUAAAACUUUCUUUAACAAAAGCAUCUAGUGUAGUUUCUUAUUUUUUGCACAUAUUGCACGAAUAUAUGUGCAUACUUUAUGUAUCAAUUUGUGAGCGAAAACCAUUUGAACAUCAAACAAAAAUAUAGUUAAUUAUCUGAAUCAAUUAUUCAAGCUCGGGUUUUACUGGCAUUAUUUGAAGACUUCGCGAAAAGAUAUUAUAACUUUAAUGUCCAGAUUCGGGUACUAGCAGUCGAUGUUGACGAGAUUCCUACCUUUCAAUAUUGAUUCAGAGCAAGCUGAGUUCGUUGUCGACCGAGGUUGAUCCUCCUCUAUCUACUCUAGUUAGUCUUUCGCACUUGAGACUGCUUGUGUAUAUUGUGUACAUUUUAGAUUUUUGUCUAGUACUUUUGGUAUCUGUUAGUAGUGGGUCUAGUACUGACUUUAUCAGGUCGUUGGUCCUUUUUCUUCAUCUCCUUUGAUAUAAUAUAUGUGCUCCCUUCUUAGUUUUCUCU